rnacentral:rRNA from 1 species
UACGUAGGGUGCGAGCGUUGUCCGGAAUUAUUGGGCGUAAAGAGCUCGUUAGGCGGUGUGUCAACGUCGGCCGUGAAAACCUGCAGCUUAACUGUGGGCGUGCGGUCGAUACGGGCAUCACUGGAGUUCGGCAGGGGAGACUGGAAUUCCUGGUGUAGCGGUGGAAAUGCGCAGAUAUCAGGGAGGGAACACCGGUGGCGAAGGCGGGUCUCUGGGCCGAUACUGACGCUGAGGAGCGAAAGCGUGGGGAGCGAACAGG